GCCUAUCUAGCUAUGUCAGUAAAGCGCAAGGCUCUUAACCUUGUGGUCAUGGGUUCGAGCCCCACGAUGGGCG
rfam:Vitis vinifera, whole genome shotgun sequence of line PN40024, unoriented chromosome 5, chr5